rnacentral:rRNA from 1 species
CCUACGGGGGGCAGCAGUGAGGAAUAUUGGUCAAUGGCCGGAAGGCUGAACCAGCCAUGCCGCGUGAAGGUCAGUGCCCUAUGGGCGGUAAACUUCUUUUGUGCGGGAGCAAUAAUGGUCACGUGUGGCCAGACGAGAGUACCGUACGAAUAAGCAUCGGCUAACUCCGUGCAAGCAGCCGCGGUAAUACGGGGGAUGCAAGCGUUAACCGGAUUUAUGGGGGUUAAAGGGUGCGUAGGCUGUGAGGUAAGUCAGCGGGGAAAUGCCCACGCUCAACGGGGUGAAGUGCCAUUGAGACUGGCUUGCUGGAAUGCGGAUGCGGGGGGAGGAAUGGGGGGUGUAGCGGUGAAAUGCAUAGAUAUC